rnacentral:rRNA from 1 species
GACGUAGGGAGCAAGCGUUGUCCGGAAUCAUUGGGCGUAAAGCGCACGUAGGCGGCUUGCCAAGUCGGACGUGAAAUCCCUCAGCUCAACUGAGGACGUGCAUCCGAAACUGGCGAGCUUGAGUACUGAAGAGGAUCGCGGAAUUCCCGGUGUAGAGAUGAAAUUCGUAGAUAUCGAGAGGAACACCAGUGGCGAAGGCGGCGAUCUGGGCAGAUACUGACGCUGAGGUGCGAAAGCGUGGGGAGCAAACAGG